rnacentral:lncRNA from 1 species
AGGACCCAUCAGCCAUCACUGGUCUCGGCGACUCCAGCACAGAGGAGAGUCACACACAUUCACACUCGCACGGAGAAACCCUCUUUGCUCGCGUUUCAGACCCAACUACUCCACAAUCGACCUGACCCAAAAUCUGGUCUUUAAUCUCCUGACCUUGUCUGACGCGGUUUCUGAGGUCUGUGUGGCUCAAUCUGACGUGGGUUUCUGAAAGGUUAGACUUCAGUUUGUAUUAGACUGAUUUGGAGAGAGAUCCGUGGGAAAAAGUAGAAAUCUUUG